GUCAUCUCUCUCUCUCUCUCUCUCUCUCUCUCUCUCUCUCUCUCUCUCUCUCUCUCUCUCUCUCUCACUUUUUCUUAUCUUUCUUUUCACAAACACCGUAAUCUUUCCCUAUCACCUUCCAUUUACCUAAACAUCACCUGACUGACAUUCUCACCUUCCCCUCUUACUCUCCCCAUCACCUUCUCCCUCUCCCUCUCUCUCUCUCUCUCUCUCUCUCUCUCUCUCUCUCUCUCUCUCUCUUAAGCAUCCAGGGGCCAGAUCCACGAAACGGUUGCUACUUUUAACAAACUGCGAUCAGCGCCCAUUAUCAACCUCGGACCGCCAUAUGGUAUCCACGAACGCAUAAGAGCUUUACCAGCAAGGAAGCAUGGUUUUGUGAUGCAUAAAGUGAAAUCUUGCAUGGAACACUGAAAACAAAUGAAGAGGCUGAUUUGUCCCACACGUGCGCACUCCCCAUUCCCCCACCCACUAACAAGUGUGUACUGUGAUUACGUAUUGUUUUCGUCGUUUCUUGUGCAUAUAUUGGAUAUUUUCUUAACAUACUACCACGUUCGUGCCUUGAGGCAAGAAAGGCGCUUUCAGGAUCGCCACGACCCCUUGGCAUUGAGUGAUAAUGAGCUCAUGAUCAAAUAUCGCUUCCCGCGGCAGACCUACUAAACCUCUUGUUUGAGGAGAUGCAGCCUCAGCUGGAGAGAAGGACAAGGCAUAGCCAGGCAUUACCAACUCACACCCAGGUUCUGCUGGCCCAGAGACUGUUUGCCAGUGGGCCCUUCCAAAACGUCAUUGGAGACACUGCUGGACCUAUGCAAGCAAGUGUCAGCAGGGUCUUCAAGUGUGUGUGUGCACCGUGUUGAGUGAUAAGUCAGUGCAGGAAAUCAAGAUGCCUCCGACACACCUUGAUCAAAGGAGAACUGCACACCAGUUCUUCAGGAUUAAAAAUUUCCUAACGGUUAUUGGGGCCAUUGAUGGCAGCCACAUUACCAUGAAGGGCCAAAGUGUGGAUGAGGCCCUCUACUUGAACUGGAAAAGGUAUCACUCCCUCUGAACAUCCAACUUGUUUGUGAUGCAAGUGAAGUGAUCCUCAGCUACUGCUCCAGAUUGCCAGGUGCCUGCACUCUUGUGGAGGUGGCUUGCAGUACAGACCCAUCAAGUGUGUCAAAAUAAUUAAUACUUGCCUGCUCCUACACAACUGCUGCAUCAAGUUCCUGAUGACAUACGUACUUGUCACUAUUUUUCUGCUACCACCUCUUGAGGAUGAAACAGUGCCCCAUGCUGAUACCAACCCUGCUGUGCUGUAGAGGGGUCAGUGUGCUUCAGGCAGAAUUGUGUAGCAAGAAAUCAUACAAAACUUCUUCCAGCACUGAAGUAAGGAAGUGAGAUUGUCAAAGUGCCUGGGACAUGUUUUGUACAGCCAGCUGCACCAUCACCAGCUCGUCCAUACUCAGACUAAUCUGCUGUUGGGUUUCCUGUGCUUGAGAGAAAACUUCCAAGUCAGAGUGGCCAUCUGAAAUACAGUUUAGAAGCAAACAUGACUACACCUCAAGUUACAAAUGCAGAUGAUACAGCAUUGUCAAAUCCAGAGGCCCCUGUGGACCCAGCGACACCAGCAGAAGAGGGUUGGAUGGCUCCAACACCACUGCUGGUGGAAGGCUGUGGUCCUAGAGGCCCUGACACUUCUGGAGAAAAAAAAAAAAAAAAAAAGCUGUCAUUACUGCAGGGUAUGGCAGUCCUGCAAAUGUUGUGUGAGACAACAUCCACAGCAUGACCAACUCCACAGCAGUGUGUGUUGUCUCAUCUGGAGGCCCCCACCUGCAUGGAUAUGAAUGUUGCAAUUAUCACCCACUUAGAAGUUCACAUGUAAAGCCAAAUCAACUUGGUGUAAAUCAUGAAUGCAUUAGAGCACAAUAAUGUUAUCUAGCACUGCAGUGGUCAUUGUCUCAGACCUGACUGCCAGAGGUACUGUACAUACUCCUAUUUAUAAUCCAUUGCUUAGUUGGUUCUUGGUUAUGUUUAUUGACUAUAUGGGUAAAUUUUGUAACAGCACCAAUAAUUAAAUACAUGUACACAAGAGCAAA